GGCCCUCCUUAACUCCUCUUGGAUGCUGCCAGUGGAUGUGAAGGGGACUGACUCCGAUUGCUCGACUUCAAAAUAGCCCUAACGUGGUCUGGCAAGAGACAGAGGCUCAAUUCACAGCGAGCACAUCAUGUCUGCAGAUUGCCCACUUUCUCAGGAUUAGCAGGGGAUCUCCCUUCUCUCUCCAGCCAGGAUGAUACCUGGAAUUGGGAACCUUACCCAGGACACCCUCUGGUGCUUCAGCCAAGUGAAAGGCACCAUCGACAUUGGAGUCACUGAAGGUCCCACACAGAGGAGGAGCUAUUUCUAUUCUCUCAUAUUGAACACGGGGGUGGAGAAGAGGUACUUUCAAGAAAAUGAUUGCAACCCUCAUCCCAGCUGCAGAUGGGUUUUCUUGCCCCAAUCUAUAUGCCAGAACUGAGCAUCCUUCCUCUUGAAUCUCUUCCAUUUCAACUUGUUCUCCAUGCCCUCAGCAAGUACUCAUUGCCAUGCUGAACAAUGACUGUUGUGAGUAGCUCUGAUUAUUGAGCAGCUGUUAUUUAAAUAUUUAUGGCCAAACUGUUCCAAAAGAGGAUCGGAAGCUGCAGCGGGUGGCUUAAGAAAUACAUAAAAAUCUAUGAGGUAAACUUCUCUACGGGAAGAUCUACAUUUCGGUGUAAGUGCCAG
rnacentral:lncRNA from 1 species